rnacentral:rRNA from 1 species
UGGGGAAAUUGAAAAUGGGCGAAGCCUGAUCCGCCUGCCGCGUGAGUGAUGAAGGCCUUCGGGUUGUAAAGCUCUUUUGUCCGGAAAGAAAUCCUUCGGGCUAAUACCCUGGUCCUAUGACGGUACCGGGAGAAUACACCGGCUAACUUCAUGCCAGCAGCCGCGGUAAUA